rnacentral:ncRNA from 1 species
UAACCAGUUUCACGAGGAACUGCUGAACGAUCAGAAGUCAGCUUCGGCCAUAGUACCAUGUGGUCCUAGGACAUAUGGGAAGGGC